UGACAGUGCUCAUGGAAGGGCUCAUGCCAUAUGGAGGGUAAACUCCGGUCAUGGCUGCCGUGUGGGACACCCAUGCAGCUGGAUCAAUGGGCCGGAUUGGCUCACCUGGCAAAUGAAACGCAGGGAGGGCAGUGGGAGCUGACACAUUCCUGAAGCCAAAUGCCUUUUCUCAUUGGGGACUAUACUUAAGAACAAGCUGCAGAGCUAUAUACAACAACUGACCUGCUGGUUGCGUCAUCAUCCUCCGAAUCGAAGCAGGAAGUGGACUCCAGCUCGCUGCUCAUGAAGGACGAACAGCUGUCGUACUCGGGGCCUCCACGUCCCAUUGGUCGAGAUGAAUAACCAUUCUGUCUCCCACCUGCAGCCGGACAGCAUUUGAUUAAAAUGACAUAUCAAAAUCAAGUUGACGUAUUAAAAAAAGAUUAAAACUUAAGGUACAAAAUACAACCAGAAAUUUAUAUUAAAGUACAAACAUACA